CUACUAUCUUAAAUUGUGCUGAUAAAUCAGUGAUAGUGUAUUAGUGUGAUUAUGCCCAAAUAUUAUUACGCUUGUAAAUAAACUUUCGGGUUGUUUCGUUUCGCUUGUCAAUAAGAGGGCUUAACGAUUUGUCGUGGUUCAUAGUUUCGUACAUCRCCGGCGAUUGAUUUAUAAUUAUGGAAGAAGAAAGUUGUAAAUCCAGUUGGGAUUCUGCUCCAGAAAUUGAUGAACAAAAAGUUGGA